rnacentral:rRNA from 1 species
AGCAGCCGCGGUAAUUCCAGCUCCAAUAGCGUAUAUUAAAGUUGUUGCAGUUAAAAAGCUCGUAGUUGAAUUUCGGGAUUUGCACAUCGGUCGUGCCUUAAGGGGUAUGAACUGGUGUAGUGAAUUUCUCACCUUCUGGAGAACCGUGAUGUCCUUUAUUGGGUGCCACGAGGAACCAGGACCUUUACUUUGAAAAAUUAGAGUGUUUAAAGCAGGCAUUUUUGCUUGAAUACAUUAGCAUGGAAUAAUAAAAUAGGACGGCAUGAUUCUAUUUUGUUGGUUUCUAGGAUCACCGUAAUGAUUAAUAGGGAUAGUUGGGGGCAUUAGUAUUCAAUUGUCAGAGGUGAAAUUCUUGGAUUUAUUGAAGACUAACUACUGCGAAAGCAUUUGCCAAGGAUGUUUUCAUUAAUCAAGAACGAAAGUUAGGGGAUCGAAGACGAUCAGAUACCGUCGUAGUCUUAACCAUAAACUAUGCCGACUAGGAAUCAGACGAUGUUAAUUUUUUAAUGACUCGUUUGGC